AUUGAACGCUGGCGGCAGGCCUAACACAUGCAAGUCGAGCGAGUGGCGGACGGGUGAGUAAUGUAUGGGGAUCUGCCCGAUAGAGGGGGAUAACUACUGGAAACGGUGGCUAAUACCGCAUACUAUCGGAUGAACCCAUAUGGGAUUAGCUUGUUGGUGGGGUAAAGGAUCACCUAGGCGACGAUCCCUAGCUGGUCUGAGAGGAUGAGCAGCCACACUGGAACUGAGACACGGCCCAGACUCCUACGGGAGGCAGCAGUGGGGAAUCUUCGACAAUGGACGAAAGUCUGACGGAGCAACGCCGCGUGUGUGAAGAAGGUUUUCGGAUCGUAAAGCACUGUUGGUGGAGAAGCGGUAUCUGACCAGAAAGCCACGGCUAACUACGUGCCAGCAGCCGCGGUAAUAC
rnacentral:rRNA from 1 species